GAUGAACGCUGACAGAAUGCUUAACACAUGCAAGUCUUUGGCGAAUCUGUGCUUGCACAGGCUAGCCAAGGCGGACGGGUGAGUAACGCGUAAAGAACUUGCCCCGCAGACAGGGAUAACAGACGGAAACGACUGAUAACACCUGAUACAGUUGCCGGCACGCAUGUGCCUGGCAAUGAAAAGAGAUGCUGCAGGAGAGCUUUGCGUCCUAUUAGCUUGUUGGUGAGGUGACGGCUCACCAAGGCGAUGAUAGGUAGCCGGCCUGAGAGGGUGAACGGCCACAAGGGGACUGAGAUACGGCCCUUACUCCUACGGGAGGCAGCAGUGGGGAAUAUUGGACAAUGGGGGCAACCCUGAUCCAGCAAUUCUGUGUGCACGAAGAAGGUUUUCGGAUUGUAAAGUGCUUUCAGCAGGGAAGAAGAAAGUGACGGUACCUGCAGAAGAAGCGACGGCUAAAUACGUG
rnacentral:rRNA from 1 species